GACGAACGCUGGCGGCGCGCCUAACACAUGCAAGUCGAACGGAGCUGAGAGAAGCUUGCUUUUCUUAGCUUAGUGGCGAACGGGUGAGUAACGCGUGAGUAACCUACCCUGGAGUGUGGGACAACAGUUGGAAACGACUGCUAAUACCGCAUAAGCCCACGAUCCGGCAUCGUAUUGAGUGAAAAGGAUUUAUUCGCUUCAGGAUGGACUCGCGUCCAAUUAGCUAGUUGGUGAGGUAACUGCCCACCAAGGCGACGAUUGGUAGCCGGACUGAGAGGUUGAACGGACACAUUGGGACUGAGACACGGCCCAGAAUCCUACGGGAGGCAGCAGUGGGGGAUAUUGCAACAUGGGGGAAAUGAUGAUGCAGCGACGACGCGUGGAGGAAGAAGGUUUUCGGAUUGUAAACUCCUGUCGUUAGGGACGAUAAUGACGGUACCUAACAAGAAAGCCCCGGCUAACUACGUG
rnacentral:rRNA from 1 species